AGAAAUGCUUCAUUUCAUUAGAUUGUUUUGCUUUAAAGCCAUGGAUUUAUGUAGCCAAGUUAACCAUUUGUAUGGCUCAGACUGCAGAUUUAGACUAUGCCUCAAACAAAAAAGAAUCACUUCAUCAUGCUAGGAAGGAAUGAAUGGUCCAGUACAAGGUCAUGUUGUUUGGAGUUAACUGUUACUCACUCUGGUUCAUAAUUCAUUCCAUGGUUUUAGUUCAAUUCCAGUUGCUCUUAGAUAAAGUGUUACUCCUGCAGGAGCUACACACUUAUGUUUGUAGAUACUGCUGACUGAACCUAAAUUUUAUGAACGUAUGAUUGAAAUGAUUUUUUUGAUUAGGUUAGUUUUCCAAGUAGUGAGAUGUUUACUGCUACAAUUGAUACAUAUGGAAAGUUAAGGGAAAUAUGAUGCUUUGGUUACAGUUUAUUUGAUUCAUUCAUAAACUUCUAGCUCUUGCACAUGUGCCAGCUGUAAGUAUACCAAUGGAAAAAAUAGAAGUAAUUAGGUUGCUUGAUUUGUACCUUAAAAGGAGAUUUCAUUCUAUUUACUCCCUUGAUUAAUUUCAUUGUAUUGUGCUUAUAGGGCUGGAUGUCAAGGAGAUUCCCACGCCAAUGCUGACAAUGACCAGUUUUGAUGCUCUGCUGUAGGCACAAACAAAUAGGAUACCAAGAUAAAGUUCGUAAAUUUUAGUGCAAAGGGCGGUGUCAAGCCGCAUUUCCUCCUACCUGCAUAGAUGGCGAUCGGAGGGUCUAAGCUCAGAAGAUGGUAGGAAGUGGGACCGUUCAAGUAGCACAUGAGAGGACCUGCAAGGGGAUUAUCUUUUCGUGUUAGUUGUAGUUGUUGUAAACAUGAAGACCUAUGUUGGUGAGGAAAGAUGAAAAGCAGUAUGUCUCACUUUACUAGACACAAAUGUAUCCUUCAUUGUUUCAUGUUGUUUGCACAAAUAUUGACCUAUUA